CCUACGGGCGGCAGCAGUGGGGAAUAUUGCACAAUGGGGGAAACCCUGAUGCAGCGACGCCGCGUGAAGGAUGAAGUAUUUCGGUAUGUAAACUUCUAUCAGCAGGGAAGAAAAUGACGGUACCUGACUAAGAAGCCCCGGCUAACUACGUGCCAGCAGCCGCGGUAAUACGAAGGGGGCAAGCGUUAUCCGGAUUUACUGGGGGUUAAGGGAGCGUAGACGGUAUGGCAAGUCUGAUGUGAAAACCCGGGGCUCAACCCCGGGACUGCAUUGGAAACUGCCGAACUGGAGUGUCGGAGAGGCAAGUGGAAUUCCUAGUGUAGCGGUGAAAUGCGUAGAUAUUAGGAGGAACACCAGUGGCGAAGGCGGCUUGCUGGACGAUGACUGACGUUGAGGCUCGAAAGCGUGGGGAGCAAACAGGAUUAGAUACCCGAGUAGUC
rnacentral:rRNA from 1 species